rnacentral:rRNA from 1 species
GACGAACGCUGGCGGCGUGCUUAACACAUGCAAGUCGAACGGAAAGGCCCUGCUUUUGUGGGGUGCUCGAGUGGCGAACGGGUGAGUAACACGUGAGUAACCUGCCCUUGACUUUGGGAUAACUUCAGGAAACUGGGGCUAAUACCGGAUAGGAGCUCCUGCUGCAUGGUGGGGGUUGGAAAGUUUCGGCGGUUGGGGAUGGACUCGCGGCUUAUCAGCUUGUUGGUGGGGUAGUGGCUUACCAAGGCUUUGACGGGUAGCCGGCCUGGGAGGGUGACCGGCCACAUUGGGACUGAGAUACGGCCCAGACUCCUACGGGAGGCAGCAGUGGGGAAUAUUGCACAAUGGGCGGAAGCCUGAUGCAGCAACGCCGCGUGCGGGAUGACGGCCUUCGGGUUGUAAACCGCUUUCGCCGGUGACGAAGCGUGAGUGACGGUAAUUGGUAAAGAAGCACCGGCUAACUACGUG